ensembl:lncRNA
AUGGCGGCCUCGGGUGUCUCGCAGCUUCCCGAGCGGUGCCGGGCGGUGGCAGGGCGUCCCGGCGGGGACCGUCCCGCAACCUCCCCGCCACCUCCCCGCGUCCCGCUGGGUGGCGCUGCCGGUCCGCCGCCGGCACCGGUGCGCUCCGGGCGGCACCUCGCGCCUUCGGCAAACCGCCUCAAGCGGUCCCUGCGACUUUCCUCGGAGACGGCAGCAAGCAGACGCAGCUAUAGCAAAGGCCGUGAGAACAAUCAACGUGAUUUUCAAAGGUUUAUAGAGAGGGAAUUUGACGCCCCUGCUUUUAAUCUGGAUGUGAGUUGAUACAGAUCAGCUGGUGUAUAGAUACACAAGGCAUUUUUCCCCAGCAGUUCUCCGAUCACUUGUUCCAGUCACAAAUUGUUAAUAAUUUAGAGACAAAUUGAGAAUUAAACAAGCUACAGGAAGUGUUGGUGUAAUGAUUCUUUGGAGUGACUCGAUGUGCCUGAGGGUGUAGUCAUCUGAAGGGCCCAAUUUACAGAAGACAUUGUAAACUGCUGUCACCGUGAUCAACAAGAUUCAUGGUAGGCACUCAAAAUCACCAAUAAUGGAAAUUUCUGUCUGACAACAACAACAAAAAACAUUAUAGACACCUUCCACAACAUCCAUGGGCAUGUUCAUGGUGACCCCCUGAUGCCUCACACGCUGACCAUGAGACUCACAGUCAGCUCCUGCCUUCAUUUUCCCGAGGGAUAUAUUUCACACAUCUCUGGCCUAAAGCAGCAGAGCACAGCACUUUUUUUCCUGCUGUUAUUCUGUCCAGCAAAUUGUUUUCAUUGGCCUGACCUGUGACUUGCUGAGCACAUGAGGCUGAAGUCAGGGAGUGGAAGAAACUGCAGAUCUGUGUUGCAUCUGGAGCCCAUGGCCUGUGUGAGAUGCUGCUCUUGGAGGUGCAGCCGUAUACCAGGAACCCUCUCCUAACCCUAACCACAUGCCAGAUCUAUAAAUGUACCCCAUAUUUGAGCGCACAGAAUUGCAGACACUAGGAGAAAGGAAAGUCUCAGAAUAUUUGAGCUACAUCCACAGAAUUUCAAUAGUUAUGGCACGGCACAUAGGGAAAUUCCUGAGGCCUAACUAUUCCUGUGAAACUGCUGCUCAGAUAUUUCUAUGCAUUUAUAUAUUGCUAGCUUGAUCUCUUUGUGUGUGUGUCACAGGAAUGGAGGUAUUUGGAUACUGGAAUAUCAGCACUGUAACAGCAUUUCUUUACAAUGGCAGAAGAGCUUGCUCUAGAGGGGCGCCUACAACACCCCCAGAGAUUGUCAGUCUGCAUAUUUAUCUGAGCCACAGGUGAAAGCUGGCAUGACAGCCAGGUCACCUCUCUUCAAAGAGGGUAUCUUCCUCCUGACACCCCUGUGAAAUGUCUAAAUGGCUUGGCUACACUUGAAAGUUGGCUCAGAUUAGAGCGUGAAUGCAGAAAGAAAUUGCUAUUCCUGGACAAUUGCAAGUAGGGCCACCCUUACUCCUAAGGAGGAGCACUUUGUUCAUUCCAAGCGCAGUAAACUACACCAGAAGGACAUACCCAUGUCCUGGAAAACAACACCAGCACAGUGGAUUUAUGCUCAGGGUUAAAAUGCCACAAAAAGUUCCAGAAUAACUUCACAGAAGGUAUGCCUUAAUUGUGAUGUCUAAUGUAAACGUAUUAAUGUUGUAGCUCCAAAAUACAAACACAGUGUGUCAAAUCUUUGAAGUAAGUCUUUUUAUUUCUUCCUUGAUCAUUGUUUGACACACUGUGGUCACAGGGGCUCUGAGAAGCACACGUCCUGGCCUCAGUGAGCUGCGGUCCAUGCUUGCACUGUACUUCUGCUGCAGAAUAUGCCAAAGAGAUACACCAUUUGCACCCUGACAGCCCUGUAUGGUGCCAUACUGUCAACAGAGUGCAUCACAAGUUGUGUGUGUGUGGACCCAAGUCAAUCAUCCAGGGUGACAGCAAGCUAUGGCAAGGAGUAAUGUGGGCUUAAGUUAUCUCCUCUGAGGUGCCAGUGCACUGGAGCACACCUAAAACCUAAAACUUUGUCCCAAUCUAACUGGUGGUGGGCUGGAACUAGCUGCUAGAUAGAGCACAGAUGUAGCCUAAAUCCACUAAAAUCAGGUUUCCAUUGGCUCAGGCUAAGACAGGAUCAGGAUCAUAUAACUUCUUGCUCAUCACCAGGAAUCAUUAAUUAGGAUCCCUGUAUUUAUCGACAAGAUUUCUAAAUAUGUUUUCAUCAUACACCUAUUUUAAGAGCAUUUAAGUAAGAUGUUGUUGAGAGUAUCCAAAGUUAGGGAUCCGAACUCCUGAGAGAGAGAGAGGGAGAUGGGGAGAAAUGCCACCCCAGAGAGCACUUCAGAGCUCCUGUGUUACUUUAGCACACUGCAACAACACUGCUCCUAAAGAUUUUGGUUUAUGGUAUUUAAUUCCUUUUGUUCUAUCUCUUUGAGACAGCCUGAAGUCUUGGAUGAAAAAGUGCUGGAGUCUCUCCCAGCUAAUACUCUGCUUUUGUCUGGAUGCUGGCAAUAUCAUGUCUUGCUCCUUGCUAUCAAUCACACAGAGGUCACAGCACUGUUCACUCCGGGAAACUGCCCCAUUGUUUGCAGAAUAAUAAGAGCUUCCUGUACAGACUAUAUUUAUUUAAACACCUAGGACAUCAGAGUACAUUUCUGCCAUAAAUGUAACAGGACCAGUGCUAUUACUCCUUCAAUAUGCUUUAUACACUCUAGAAUCAGGCUAUGGAUUUGGAUCCUUCACUAACCACAUAGGUGGCAAUGGUUACUGAAGGCAAUAAAUAGUACUGCACACCUGAAAUUUAGCA